UGUAGAAGGUGCAGACUUUCACCCUGGGAAGCCAACAAUCUAAACAUCCUAGACUGGAGUGGCCAGUUUUGAACAAGUGACUUCAGCUUCCCAAGUGUCAGACGCAUUUACGACCUCCAAGUCUUUCUGCCAAAGAGGUAUGCCGUCUGAGUACCUGCUAUCCUGCCCUAUCACAACACAUCAUCAUAAUUUGAUUUACAAGUGAAGAUAUCAUGUCUAAGUGUAUGGAAACACUCUAAACCAUUUUUGUGAUGGAGUCCUUGAUAUCUGAAAAUACCUACUUCUGAAAAGAACCCCAAACUUGCCACCUAUGCUGUGUUUCUUCUCUUCCUUUCCAUCUCCUGCAUUUUGCUGCAUUGAGACAAGUGGUUCCACCUUCCUACCAGGCUUUCAAGAUCAACUGCAUGGGAAUAGAUUGCAUUAUUUGUAGAUGCACUCCAGUUUCCAAGACACAUCAAUUUCCAAACAAUUUUUGCCAAGGCCAAGUGGAGUCAAAAAGCAACAUCCUGAAAGGGAGCAGUUGUUCUAACCAGUUGGAGGUGACGAUUUAUCAAGAGCCGUUAAUCCGCUGCCGUGUAAAGAGCCUCCAGCACAUUUACUUUCCAUCUUGGUGAGAGUAAGAGUAAGUUCUAAUUAUGGCUUAGGGCAGUUUUCUCACCUGAUGUUAAAAAGAAAUUUGAGAAAUUGUAUGCAUUUUAAAAAGCAAUCAUCCAGUCUGGUGGUAAAGAAGACACAAUUCCACACAAAUUGUGCCUACAUAAUUCUGGGGUUUCAUGUAAAUGAUCAGAUUAUUAUUAUUUAACUAAAAUGAAAACAAUCUACUCUCAUUUAUGAGAGGAGGGAAGUAAAACUUUUACCUCGUUAAUAUCCUACUGAGAUUUGCAUAUUGCCGGCUGCAUAAAAAAGGGAUUCGGGUAGUUAUUUUAUAUUGAUUUAAUGUUCUGUUAUUAUUAACCACAACUGGCUACAAGCACAUCAAGGAAAAAUGACCUUCAAUUUUCAUGAAGACCUCAGUUCUGUCACUUAUUAAUCAGCUGUGUGUUUUUGGACAACUUACUUAACUCUGGUUACCUUAGCCUCAGUUUCCUUCUUUUAAAUAGAGUUGAUAAUAGUAUCAUGUUUUGCAAUUCACACACACACACACACACACACAACGUGGUACAUGUUAGCGAGUGAUUAGACAUAGUCUUGAUGUUCACCUUGCUCUGGGAUCCUCAAGGUUAUGCUUUUAGCCUAACCAAAGAAUAAACCCAGGGCCAAAAUAUAUAGGUCCAAACAGUAAAGUGCCCUAACAAAAAGGGAAUUUCUAUCUAAAUAGGUUUGUUCAUGCCUUCCAUUUAUGCCUCCAUGUCCCUACCCAAUGUCCAAUUCCGCUUUUUGGAUUUGUUGCCUUGUGCUAUGUGCACUGCCUUCUUCCUCAAGAAGCCCCUAAAAACAUAAAUGGUCCAGGAAAGGAUAAUUAAGGCCAUUAUCACCUUGUGAGAGUGAGUUUGUGUGUUUUUACUCCUAGACAGAAUAUCCCACAUACUAAUCCUUGGUACCUGGGAAAGGAUAAAAUGAAUCUGAAAGAGGGGCAAAAGGGCACAGGAUAUACUUUACAAUUUUGCUUGAGUAACCUUCACCAGUUAAUCAUUACGUACUAAAAACCUUCUGUAAGGAAAAUCAGGAAAAUGUUAUUUGUAGCUGCCUCUAAGGAAGGGAAGAGGGUAAGUCAAGUACAAGAGCAGGGAAACUUACUUGCACUGCCUAUCUAUCCUCUUGUACCUUUUGAAUUUGGUGCUGCAGAAAUGUAUAACCCAUCCAAAAAUUUUAAU